AUCUGGUUGAUCCUGCCAGAAGCCACCGCUUUUGGAGUUCGAUUAAGCCAUGCGAGUAGAAUGAAUUAGAUCAUUGCUGAACUGCUCAGUAACACGUGGAUAACCUGCCCUAUGCUCUGGGAUAACCUUGGGAAACUGAGAAUAAUACCGGAUAGAUCACAACGCCUGGAACGGUGUGUGGUUGAAAGGUCACAGCAUAGGAUGGGUCUGCGGCGUAUCAGGUCGUAGGGGGUGUAACGGACCUCCUAGCCAUCGACGCGUACGGGUUGUGGGAGCAAUACCCCGGAUAUGGAUUCUGAGACACUAAUCCAUACCCCACGGGGUGCAGCAUGCUCGAAAACUUCACACUGCAGGAAACUGUGAUGAGGGAACUCCAAAUGACUACACAUUUGUGUAACUCUUUUCUUAACUAUUAAUCGGUUUUGGAAUAAGGGCUG
rnacentral:rRNA from 1 species